ensembl:misc_RNA Metazoa_SRP Metazoan signal recognition particle RNA
GCCAGGCAUGGUGGCGCACGCCUGUAAUCCCAGCUACUUGGGAGACUGAGGCAGGAGAAUCGCUUGAACCCGGGAGGCAGAGGGUGCAGUGAACCAAGAUCACGCCACUGCACUCCAGCCUGGGUGACAGAGCGAGACUCUGUCUCCA